AGCCCGCGAGCGGCCGCGCUCCCGACUCUCCUUCCUUCCGCGCAGCCUCCAGUUCCCCGGGGCUGGAGCCGGCUGUCGGCUGGUUGCCGGCUCCGAGGGCGAUGAGAGUGGCAGGUGUGCCCUGCUGCACAGGUGGCCUCCGAACCCGGGAAAAGAGGAACUAAGGCGGAGGAACUGAGACGUUUCGAAUUCCAGAUGGAGUCUGGCUCUGCCGCCCAGGCUGAAGUGUGGUGCAAUCCCAGCUCACUGCAAUCUCCGCCUCCCGGGUUCAAAUGGUUCUCCUGCCUCAGCUUCCCAAGUAGCUGGGAUUACAGGCUGGAGUGCAAUGGCAUGAGCACAGCCCACUGAAGCCUCAACCUCCCGGGUCAAGCAAUCCUCCCACCUCAGCCUUCCUAGUAGCUGGGACUGUAGGUGUGCACCACCACGCCUGGCUAAUCUUUGUAUUUUUUGUAGAGAUGGGGUUUUGCCAUAGGCUGUUUUCUUCUAUUCUAUGGUUCUCAUAAUACUACUUUGUAACAAGCCAUUCUAAGAUUUAAAGUGAUGCAAAAAC
rnacentral:lncRNA from 1 species